AUUGAACGCUGGCGGCAUGCCUUACACAUGCAAGUCGAACGGCAGCGGGCCCUUCGGGGUGCCGGCGAGUGGCGAACGGGUGAGUAAUGCAUCGGAACGUACCCGGGAGAGGGGGAUAACCGGCCGAAAGGCUGGCUAAUACCGCAUGAACUCGGAAGAGCAAAGCGGGGGACCUUCGGGCCUCGCGCUCUCGGAGCGGCCGAUGUCCGAUUAGGCUAGUUGGUGGGGUAAAGGCCCACCAAGGCGACGAUCGGUAGCGGGUCUGAGAGGACGAUCCGCCGCACUGGGACUGAGACACGGCCCAGACUCCUACGGGAGGCAGCAGUGGGGAAUCUUGGACAAUGGGCGCAAGCCUGAUCCAGCAAUGCCGCGUGGGUGAAGAAGGCCUUCGGGUUGUAAAGCCCUUUCGGCGGGGAAGAAAUCGGUCAGGCGAAUAGUCUGGCCGGAUGACGGUACCCGCAGAAGAAGCACCGGCUAACUACGUG
rnacentral:rRNA from 1 species